GACAGAGGUGCCGAGCGUUAGGCGGAAUCACUGGGCGUAAAGCGUGCGCAGGCGGUUUGUUAAGUCCGCUGUGAAAUCCCCGAGCUCAACUUGGGAAUUGCAGUGGAUACUGGCAAGCUGGAGUAUGGUAGAGGAAGGUGGAAUUCCCGGUGUAGCAGUGAAAUGCGUAGAGAUCGGGAGGAACACCAGUGGCGAAGGCGGCCUUCUGGACCAAUACUGACGCUCAUGCACGAAAGCGUGGGGAGCAAACAGG
rnacentral:rRNA from 1 species